ensembl:lncRNA
CCCCUUCCCAGACCUCAUUUAAGGGCUGGUGGUGGAGGUGAGGGUAUUUUGCUGGAGGUCUGUGUGUACCUGAGGCCUUCUGAAGGGAAAUAUGCACAGAGCCUGGUAUGCCAUUAUUGCACCAGUGGAUCUGGGAAUAGAUAGCUGGAGGAGCUUAUGCUCAGGAUACAUCUCAGGGGCCAACUUCCACUGAAGAAGCAGACUACAUUUAAAGGUAAGACCACAGGCACGAGCAGUUCUGCAAAGCCUUCCGGAGCAGGUGCACAAGGAGCUAGGCACGCAGGAAGCUCACAGCCUCGACAGGGAUCCCCAGUCCAUGGGUGCCUGAGACUUCUGCCACCAUCUGCAGCCGGGGGACUGGUUCCUGUGCCAUGGCCACCCCUCCAGCAGGAGAUGGACAGAGGUCAUGGCGUGCCUUUCACAGCUCUCCCCAGAAGGGGACAUGAAAAGGGGAAAUAAUAACAACAAAGGAUGUUGCUGGUUCUACACGCUUAUUAUUAGCGGAGGAAGGGCUGGGAUUAAUCACUCCCGCAGAAGCAGCUGUAAAGGAUGGAAGUAGCUGAUCAAAGUGGACUUUGUUAUUCCCAGUGUAUCAUUCUGCUGAGCAAUGAGAACUAGCAUGGGGCACUGGAGCUUCAAAAGGGUUUUAAUGACUCCAAGGCUUGAACCAAGGACACUGCUGGAGCUAAUCAAGAAGGAAAUCCAGGGCAAGGUGGAAAUGAUGGAAAUGAGUGCUUUGGUCCGAGGAAUUUUUCCACAUCUUUCACUUCCUAAUUCCAUACCUUUGAGGUAAUAAAAUUUACAAUGAUGGAAAAAAAAAUAGCGGGACAAUGGGAAAUGUUCCUCUAUGGACUGGGCUACGUGUGGCUGGGUUGCACCUGAUUCCUGCGCCGGUGGCAGGGGGGACAGAGGGCACAAGGAGCCACUCCAUCUUGCCCUGCUGGCUUCUGACAAAACCACGGUCCUUCCACCUCCUCCUGUCCCAGGAUGGCCCCUCCUAUUGCCAGGCAGGUGAAAAGCACCAUGGAGGCUGGGGCAGGCCCCCUUUCCUCCUUGCUGACUGAAUGGAUGCACGGCAAGUUCCUUCUGCAUCCUCAAGUAUGCAGCCCUGGCACAGCCCUUCAGUCAGCUGCAGGGACAAGAAGUUGCCCUGUGCCGCUGUUGGGGUGAGCUAUGAAUGAGUGCAGAGAAUCUCUGAGCGAUGGCUGGGAAUUAGCUGUGGGGAGCCUGACUCGCCCCCAUUGCAGCCAGUAGAGCUCUGCCAUACAAAAGCACAGGCACAUGUCUGCAGAACAGCUCUCACCCUAAUGUGGAGAAGAAAUACAUACUGUAAGGGGUGGCUUUGUUGAUGACACAUCCACCAUGUCGCUCACUUCUCGCUUCCUUCGUUUCUUCCUUCCUUGUUUCUGUUUAUAGAGCAAAUAGAUCCAAAAGAGCACUUCCUACUCAGCAGUACUAGCAUCUCUGAGACAGUCAAGGACAUGCUGUCCACAAACAGGUCUUUUUCCUGCCUGUGAAAUGUUGGUCCUCUUUUAAAAGAAAGACUCUGAGAGCAUUCAUAUCCAGACUGUAAGCCUAUCAGCGCCCAUCUUGCUUGGUAUCUCGCAUAAGCCCUGCCUGCCCCGUGGCCCAGCACACAAGGACCAUGAGGUAUCUUCAGUGCUCUCUCUCUUUCUGCAACCAGAGAAGAUCCAUGGGUCUGUUUCUUGUCACUCCUGUCAGGAAGAAUCCAGCAUGCAUUUUGUGGUUGGAAGUCAAAACUGAGAGCUUUCCUUCCCCAAACCCAGCAGCUGCAGUGUUGUCUGUUUUGCUUUCUCAGCCUAAACAUGCAGCAGCAUGUUCUGCUGAGGGGCAAAUCAAGCGAGAUUCUGGAGCAGACAGAAGGAGAAAUAGAGGCCAAGGAGCACCACCUAGCAAGGGAACCCAGUGCCCCAUACAAGCCACAGCACACUCAGCAGCCCCCCUGCAGCAGCGAUGCACCAUGACUUAGUGAGUGCAUACAGAUUCCUGCUUCCUCCUUUCCCAGCCCAGUGUCUUAACUCCUCUGCAAUGGGCAAGGUGGACCUGACCUGCAUGCAGCUGUCCGUGUCCCUAGGGAUGUGACAUUAACUGAGGCUGGGAACUGCCCCGGCUGCAUCCCUUUCCUCCUG